UUGCAACUUAAGCUUCAGUCUCCCGUGCACUAGACCACGAUCUCACCGCGAUUUAAAAUAAAUUCAGGUCGUGGUGAGGUCGCGGUAUGAGCGGCAUGAAAAUGUAAAUUUUCGUUGCUUUCACGAUAAUACUACGUUCUCAUUACGCUUCUACAACGAUCCUUCUACGAUUAAAUCACGUUCUCACCGCGCUUAUUCUGCGACUUAACUGCGCU
rnacentral:lncRNA from 1 species